UGACAUCUCAACGCCAGGACAACUACUCGGAUUUAAGACGUUAAGCUCUUACAUGCAGACAACACUUAAACUGUGCUGUGUAACAGAUGUGUUUUACAGGAACACAUUUCCAAAGAAAAUGACUUCUAGCUUGAAGACAGCGAAGACAGAUCAGGGCUUACUGCCACCUCGGGUGAAAGCUACCGCACUCCGUUGUCCACAGGCAUCCACUCUUCAGAGCUCUUCCAGAAAAACUCUACCUGGAAAAAGAAAGGAGCUCCUAAAGCAGCUUGAAGUACAGAAGAGUAACACUUCUGGAAAAGCUCACGUGGAGCGCCUCCCAAUGCACUUGGCUUUUGUUCUGCCCCUUGUCCCCAGAAGAGGACGAAGAUUUCUGGCAGGCCCGCCGGAGAGUCUAGAGAAUAUAAAGGCUCAUCAGCUCAUCAACACACCAUGCGGGUCUCAGUGGGUGUCUGAGUAUGUGGGAAACUUUGAUUCACCACAAAUUGUCCACUUACCUCCGGAGUACCACUGCAUACUUAACCCUCAUUCUGCAGACAAGAAUCAACAUGCCGCAUACCAGGCCAUCUAUGGUCCUGAGCUGAACAAGUACAAGCCACUGCCUCCUCUCAACCCAGCCAGGCCUGCAGUCAAUGAGAACCAUCAGUGCUUACCGCCACCUCUGGUGAAAUCUACCACACGCCACUGUCCACAGGCAUCCACUCUUCAGGAUCCUCCUCCUAUAGCUUCCAGAAAAGCUAUACCUGGAAAAAGAAAGGAGCUCCUAGAGCAGCUUGAAGUACAGAAGAGUAACACUUCUGGAAAUGCUCAGAUGGAGCACCCCCACAAGCUCCGGGCUCCUGCUCCACCCACUGUCCCCAGAAGAGGACGAAGAUUUCUGGCAGGCCUGCCGGAGAAUCUAGAGAGUAUAAAGGCUCAUCAGCUCAUCAACACACCAUGCGGGUCUCAGUGGGUGUCUGAGUAUGUGGAAAACUUUGAUUCGCCACAAAUUGGCCAUUCCAGGCCAUCUACAGUCCUGAGAUCCGCACCAGAUAGUUCAGUCUUACACUGUACCGACUGCUCCAAGGAACACCUUAAAAAGCAGGUCUCCGGGCUGCAAAUGUAAAAACACAAAAAAAGACACAAAGAGUAAUUCAUGUGUGAAGAUCUCGCCGGCAGAAGGCGCUGCAGCGACAAUGUGCGCAAUCAGCUGGAGAGUGCGUGCACGUGCUUGAAGUGCGCAUGGACGCCAAGACUUUGUUUACAAUGGACAUGUGCACUUAUUUUGGUUUCUGUUCUGUCCCCGCCCUAUUCAGUUAUUGCGAGGUGCGAGGGUGUGCUUUGAAAUGUUACCAGCUGUCAACAAUUAAGUCUUGUUUGGUAACAUCAUGAAGCUUGUUUGGGACCGCAACAUCAGUAUUCAACUUCUUACUUUUGCCGCCCAAUUCUCCAUGGAUGUACUUUCACAGACAACACCAUUAUUAAUAGUUCACAAUUAAUGACUCGCAUAUUAAGCCACCCUGAGCCUUGUGAUGUUGGUGAACCAGGAGUUACUUCAGUCACUACAUCAGACAUGCAUAUUGAGAACGUCAUGAAUAAAGACACAGGUAACUGAAUCUUGAAGAACUAGUUCUGUUGGACAAUAGCAAUAUCUCUCAUUGUCUUAAAGCUAUGUUUAAAUAUUUUGAUUUGAGGUUGUGAACAAUAAAUCACUGAAUUGUCAAUGUUCAAAUCAACUGAUAAUUUCUCGAUUUUUAUGACAAUUGUUGAUUGAUUAGUGGGUUUGAGCAUACAACAGGAGUACAGCAUCUACAACUCAGUAGCAAAGAGGUUUGGAGCUGAGUCCUGCAUUCGAGAGAGCCCUGCAUUGAAAGUGCAGAGGAUUUGUGACAAAGCAAAAAGACAAGAUCCCACAUCGACAACGCUCGCUUCUUCAAACAGAGGGUCUCUUCCAAACAUGGAGACUGAAAACCUGAUGAAUGAUGGGAACAAGCCAAGAGUUACAGCUAAAUCAGAAUCAGAAUUUCAGAGUGAAAAUGUCAAGAGAUCUACAGGCUCAAGUUGCUGGCUUCGCUGAGGAAGUACAUUGCCGAUAUUUUUAAAAAGGAACUCCAGGAGACUCUUGGGGAUGCACUGUCUACUAUCAAGCUUGACCUGCAAGCCAUGAAGACACAGCUGGUUAGGGAUAAAG